AUACGGAGGAUCCGAGCGUUAUCCGGAUUUAUUGGGUUUAAAGGGAGCGUAGGUGGACAGUUAAGUCAGUUGUGAAAGUUUGCGGCUCAACCGUAAAAUUGCAGUUGAUACUGGCUGUCUUGAGUACAGUAGAGGUGGGCGGAAUUCGUGGUGUAGCGGUGAAAUGCUUAGAUAUCACGAAGAACUCCGAUUGAGAAGGCAGCUCACUGGACUGCAACUGACACUGAUGCUCGAAAGUGUGGGUAUCAAACAGGAUUAGAUACCCUGGUAGUCCACACAGUAAACGAUGAAUACUCGCUGUUUGCGAUAUACAGUAAGCGGCCAAGCGAAAGCAUUAAGUAUUCCACCUGGGGAGUACGCCGGCAACGGUGAAACUCAAAUGAAUUGGCGGG
rnacentral:rRNA from 1 species